rnacentral:rRNA from 1 species
AGAGUUUGAUCCUGGCUCAGGACGAACGCUGGCGGCGUGCUUAACACAUGCAAGUCGAACGGUCUCUUCGUUGCUCGCAAGAGUGGCGGAGAGGUAGUGGCGAACGGGUGAGUAACACGUGAGAAACCUAUCCUGGUCUCUGGGAUAACAGCCGGAAACGGCUGCUAAUACCGGAUGCCGUCGGAGCGUCGCAUGGCGCGCUGACGAAAGGGUUACUGGAUCAGGAGGGUCUCGCGGCCUAUCAGCUAGUUGGUGGGGUAAUGGCCUACCAAGGCAUCGACGGGUAGCUGGUCUGAGAGGAUGAUCAGCCACACUGGGACUGAGACACGGCCCAGACUCCUACGGGAGGCAGCAGUGGGGAAUCUUGCGCAAUGGGCGAAAGCCUGACGCAGCAACGCCGCGUGCGGGAAGAAGGCCCUCGGGUUGUAAACCGCUUUCAGAAGGAACGAAAAUGACGGUACUUUCAGAAGAAGGUGCGGCCAACUACGUGCCAGCAGCCGCGGUGACACGUAGGCACCAAGCGUUGUCCGGAUUUAUUGGGCGUAAAGAGCUCGUAGGCGGUUCGGUAAGUCGGAUGUGAAAACUUUGGGCUCAACCCAAAGCGUGCACUCGAUACUGCCAUGACUAGAGUUCGGUAGGGGAGUGGGGAAUUCCUAGUGUAGCGGUGAAAUGCGCAGAUAUUAGGAGGAACACCGGUGGCGAAGGCGCCACUCUGGGCCGAAACUGACGCUGAGGAGCGAAAGCGUGGGUAGCAAACAGGAUUAGAUACCCCGGUAGUCC